CAGGAGCAGCAGGCGCGCAAWUACCCACUCCGGAAGGGGAGGUAKGACGAAAAAUAACAAUACGGGACUCUUUUGAGACCCCGUAAUUGGAAUGAGUACACUCUAAAUCCUUUAACGAGGAUCCAUUGGAGGGCAAGUCUGGUGCCAGCAGCUGCGGUAAUUCCAGCUCCAAUAGCGUAUAUUAAAGUUGUUGCGGUUAAAAAGCUCGUAGUUGGAUCUCAGCUCGAGACGGAUGGUCCGCCUACCGGUGGUUACUGUCUGUUCUCAGCAUUCAGCCGGUUUCUCUUGAUGAUCUUCACCGGUUGUCUUGGGUGACCGGCAAGUUUACUUUGAAAAAAUUAGAGUGCUCAAAGCAGGCGUGAAAGCCUGAAUAAUGGUGCAUGGAAUAAUGGAAUAGGACCUCGGUUCUAUUUUGUUGGUUUUCGGAACACGAGGUAAUGAUUAAGAGGGACAGACGGGGGCAUUCGUAUUGCGACGCUAGAGGUGAAAUUCUUGGACCGUCGCAAGACGAACUACUGCGAAAGCAUUUGCCAAGAAUGUUUCCAUUAAUCAAGAACGAAAGUUAGAGGUUCGAAGGCGAUCAGAUACCGCCCUAGUUCUAACCAUAAACGAUGCCAGCCAGCGAUCCGGCUGUGUUCCUCAAAUGACACGCCGGGCAGCUUCCGGGAAACCAAAGCUUUUGGGUUCCGGGGGAAGUAGGU
rnacentral:rRNA from 1 species